rnacentral:sRNA from 1 species
CCCAGCCCUGAAGGACUGGGCUAUUGUCUUUCGUCCCUGCCGGGACU